rnacentral:rRNA from 1 species
GAUGAACGCUGGCGGCGUGCUUAACACAUGCAAGUCGAGCGAAGCGCUUAAGUCUGAUUCUUCGGAUGAAGACUUUUGUGACUGAGCGGCGGACGGGUGAGUAACGCGUGGGUAACCUGCCUCAUACAGGGGGAUAACAGUUAGAAAUGACUGCUAAUACCGCAUAAGACCACGGUACCGCAUGGUACAGUGGUAAAAACUCCGGUGGUAUGAGAUGGACCCGCGUCUGAUUAGGUAGUUGGUGGGGUAACGGCCUACCAAGCCGACGAUCAGUAGCCGACCUGAGAGGGUGACCGGCCACAUUGGGACUGAGACACGGCCCAGACUCCUACGGGAGGCAGCAGUGGGGAAUAUUGCACAAUGGAGGAAACUCUGAUGCAGCGACGCCGCGUGAAGGAUGAAGUAUUUCGGUAUGUAAACUUCUAUCAGCAGGGAAGAAAAUGACGGU